rnacentral:rRNA from 1 species
AAGUCGUAACAAGGUAACCGUAGGUGAACCUGCGGUUGGAUCAUUAACAAAUAUUAGAAGACCUUCAAGGUCUCUCUAAACAUCUUGUGAAUUAUAUAUGUCUCUAGCAUGGUUUAACUUUAAUUAGUUGGGUUAUGCUGGAAUUAAACUAUACUUUAUUUAACAUUUUGUCUAUAAAUUCAUUUAAAAAAGUAAUUAAAACAACUUUUGACAACGGAUCUCUAGGCUCUUACAACGAUGAAGAACGCAGCGAAUUGCGAUAAGUAAUGUGAAUUGCAGAAUUCCGUGAAUCAUCAAAUCUUUGAACGCACAUUGCACCUUGAGGUAUUCCUCAAGGUAUGCCUGUUCGAGAAUCAGUUAAACCAUCAAAGCCUAGUAUUGUUAAAGUAAUAGGUUUUGGAAUUGGGAUUUGUUGGACUUUUUAGUUAAACAUUCCUUAAUAAUAAUUGUUGCCCAACACUUUACUUGUUAGUGUGGUAUGCAUGACCAAUGAGUUUCGGCUCUUCUGAUUGCUAUAUAACAUUAACUACUGUAAUUUGUUUAAAGUAACAUUAAAAACUUCAACACAAAGCACUUUGCUUUAAGACUUGAUCUCGAAUCAGACAAGACUACCCGCUGAACUUAA